GCAGGUCUCUGCCCAAGAACAGCCGUUUUGCUGUCUACCAACCAGAGCCAACGGAAGUGCCAACUCCUGUGGCCACCGGGACAGCGCGCAGCACACCUCGGGCCAACUGCGAGGACCAGGAGGAGCCUGUGGACCACCACGUCAGACUGAGAGGGGGUGGGUGUCAGACCAGGGUGGAAAGGGGGAGGGCCAUGCCCUGCCCGCCGGCCUCUUCUCAGUUCCACACCAGACACCAGCUCUCAGGCGCGUCACCCGUGAAGAAUCGAUCGAGGCCUGAUGAAGGUCACGAGCCCAUGUGCUCCCUGCUCCAACCCUCAGUUCGACACCCUCCUGUCCAGGACCAAGACCUGUUGUCACUGGGAGGUGAAGACACAUCUGUGGGUGACUAGGUCUAAAGGAUUUAGGCUCAUGUCAGCCCUGGUGCCUGGGAGUGGCGCACAUUGGUUAGGGGUGUGUGUGUGUGUGUGUCUGUGUGUGUCUGUGUGUGUGUGUGUGUGUGUGUGUCUGUGUGUGUGUCUGUGUCUGUGUGUGUGUCUGUGUGUGUGUCUGUGUGUGUGUCUGUGUGUGUGUGUCUGUGUGUGUGUCUGUGUGUGUUUGUGUGUCUGUGUGUGUGUUUGUGUGUGUCUGUGUGUGUGUGUCUGUGUGUGUGUGUGAACACAUAUUAACGUGUAUUAAUAUCAAAAACAUUAACUUGUAUAAGCACUAGGCCUUCUGAAUUCUGCACGUUUUCAUUUUAUUCUGUAACUCUGCGUGCGUCUUGUCCUCCUGUAUCUAUUCUCCUUUGUGCUGCUGUCAAGCUGGCUUUCAUUUAUUAAAUGCUUUAAUUUUUUCA